GUAGUGAUAUAAGAUUUAAGAAUAUGGAUUAUUUAUUUACUAUUUUGGCUCUUUGCGUUGCACUAGCAGCCGCCGAAUCUCCAGCUACCAGUAAGCAAUACCGCUCAGAUUACACCUACGACAGAAACACCGACUCCUUCUACAAGAUGCACACGGAGCAGGUGUCGACCGAUCGCGCGCACACAACAUGCCAGGCCGAAGGCGCAAGGCUUAUGUCACCGGAGUCCGAACAAGACCUAGCACUGAUACACGGCAUGUUUAAAAAGUUCCCGGAUAUCGGGAGACUGGUGCUUGUAGAUGGGAAUGGGGUCGGUCACGAUGAGGCUGAUGAGGACGAGGAACCCAUUAUAAAAAUGGAAGAGGAAACCGACUACGCACCACGCCGUCGGUGCGAAGUGGUGAAUAGGGAAGGACAGAUUGAGAGCUCUCUGUGCUACUUUGAGCGGCCGUUUAUAUGCAAAGUGAACGCAAAGGACGCGCCUUACAACGAGGAAUGCGGGACUUAUUCUAAUGAUUACGUCUCAAAGAUCUCCCUCACUGGCAGCUGCUACCGGAUAGCCAAGAUAAAAGCUAACUGGAACGAAGCAUACGCCAACUGCCAAGCUGAGGGGGGCCACUUGGCCAUCCUGAACAACGAAGGCGAGUUUGAAAUCGUCAAGGGUCUGCUGGACAAAACGCCCAGGAGUGUUGAGGAUUGGCAGUUCUUUGUUGGCGUCCGCGCGGAGGAGAAAAAAUCUCCGAUAAUAUUUAGAACCGUUUUCAAUCAAACUCUAGAGCAGGUCGGAUACGCUCCCUGGGACAACAACGAGCCCAAUAACUCGUUCGGCAUCGAGUACUGCGUGUCGCUCCUCAGAACCACGGGCAAAUACAACGACACCGUGUGCCGGAACCGCUACUCCUACAUCUGCGAGAAGGAGCGCAGUGUUUGAAUAUCUCAUUAUUCCUACUGCUCAUUUAGUACAAUAUUUAGUCAUGUAGACAAUGAGCCCAACAACUCGUUCGGCAUCAAGUACUGCGUGUUCUCUUCAGAGCCACGGGCAAAUACAACGACACCGUGUGCCGCAACCGCUACGUCUACAUCUGCGAGAAGGAGCGCAGUGUUUGAAUAUCUCAAUAUUCCUACUGCUCAUUUAGUACAAGUUUUAGUCAUGUAGACAUAAUGAGCCCAACAACUCGUUCGGCAUCGAGUACUGCGUGUUCUCCUCAGAGCCACGGGCAAAUACAACGACACCGUGUGCCGGAACCGCUACUCCUACAUCAGCGAGAAGGAGCGCAGUAUUUGAAUGUCUCAUUAUUCCUACUGCUCAUUUAGUACAACAUUUAGUAAUGUAGACAAUGAGCCCAACAACUCGUUCGGCAUCGAGUACUGCGUGUCGCUCCUCAGAACCACGGGCAAAUACAACGACACCGUGUGCCGGAACCGCUACUCGUAUGUCUGCGAGAAGGAGCGCAGUGUUUGAAUAUCUCAUUAUUCCUACUGCUCAUUUAGUAUAAGUUUUAGUCAUGUAGACAAUGAGCCCAGCAACUCGUUCGGCAUCGAGUAUUGCGUGUCGCUCCUCAGAACCACGGGCAAAUACGACACCGUGUGCCGGAACCGCUACUCGUAUGUCUGCGAGAAGGAGCGCAGUGUUUGAAUAUCUCAUUAUUCCUACUGCUCAAUUAGUACAACAUUUAGUCAUGUAUAUAACAAUGAGCCCAACAAUCAGCAAUUCGUUCGGCAUCGAGUAGGUCGUCGUACGUCGCGACACCUCACCCAACGUCGCUGGCGACACGUGUCUCGAAACAUUUCUCCCCUAGUGUAUUCAUGGCUUUAGAAAAGGUCGAAACCACAACAUGUAUCAUAUACAUCAUGUAUGUAUGUGUAUAUGAUGUAUGUAUGUAUAUGUAUACGUAUACAACCUAUUAAGUUAUAUUAUUUCUGUUUUAUUCUUUGUAUUUGUUUUUUAUUGUUAAUUGUAGGCGCAAAAGGGUCGGUCUUCCAUACAAAAUUUGAAUUUCGCGCUUUUAUCUACUGACAGUUGGUUUGCCAGAGUAUAUAAUGGUAAUAUCGGUAUGAUUAGAUCUAUUUAACAUGUAUAUACUCGUAUAAGGAAAGCAGCAUUAGUGUGUUCUAUGGUUUUAUUGAUGGUUAAGAAUAAAAUACAAUUUUACGCCAAAAUACUUUAUUUGAAAAUAAUCCUGUAGGUACAGUCGCCAUCAGAUAUAAUAUCGGAGCGGCCGAGGUGCUCAAAAAUAUCUGAACACGCACUCUAACGCCUCGAAAAUAGAGGCGUAUUCAGAUAUUUGUGAGCACCUUGGCCGCUCCGAUAUAUCUGAUGGCGACUGUACAUAACUUAUAAAUGCGUUAAAAAUAUGAAU